UGCAGAGGUCCCAAGCGUUGUUCGGAUUCACUGGGCGUAAAGGGUGCGUAGGUGGUGAGGUAAGUCGGAUGUGAAAUCUCCGAGCUCAACUCGGAAACUGCAUUGGAAACUACCUUGCUAGAGGGUUGGAGGGGGGACUGGAAUGCUUGGUGUAGCAGUGAAAUGCGUAGAUAUCAAGCGGAACACCAGUGGCGAAGGCGAGUCCCUGGACAACUCCUGACACUGAGGCACGAAAGCUAGGGGAGCAAACAGG
rnacentral:rRNA from 1 species